rnacentral:rRNA from 1 species
AUUGAACGCUGGCGGAAUGCUUUACACAUGCAAGUCGAACGGCAGCACGGGUGCUUGCACCUGGUGGCGAGUGGCGGACGGGUGAGUAACACAUCGGAACGUGUCCUGAAGUGGGGGAUAACGCAUCGAAAGAUGUGCUAAUACCGCAUAUUCUCUGAGGAGGAAAGUAGGGGAUCGAAAGACCUUAUGCUUUUGGAGCGGCCGAUGUCUGAUUAGCUAGUUGGUAAGGUAAUGGCUUACCAAGGCGACGAUCAGUAGUUGGUCUGAGAGGACGACCAGCCACACUGGGACUGAGACACGGCCCAGACUCCUACGGGAGGCAGCAGUGGGGAAUUUUGGACAAUGGGCGCAAGCCUGAUCCAGCAAUGCCGCGUGAGUGAAGAAGGCCUUCGGGUUGUAAAGCUCUUUCAGUCGAGAAGAAAAGGCUGUGACUAAUAAUCAUAGCUCAUGACGGUAUCGACAGAAGAAGCACCGGCUAACUACGUG